AGUGAACGCUGGCGGUAGGCCUAACACAUGCAAGUCGAACGGCAGCACAGUAAGAGCUUGCUCUUACGGGUGGCGAGUGGCGGACGGGUGAGGAAUACAUCGGAAUCUACUUUUUCGUGGGGGAUAACGUAGUGAAACUUACGCUAAUACCGCAUACGACCUACGGGUGAAAGUAGGGGAUCUUCGGACCUUGCGCGAUUGAAUGAGCCGAUGUCGGAUUAGCUAGUUGGCGGGGUAAAGGCCCACCAAGGCGACGAUCCGUAGCUGGUCUGAGAGGAUGAUCAGCCACACUGGAACUGAGACACGGUCCAGACUCCUACGGGAGGCAGCAGUGGGGAAUAUUGGACAAUGGGCGCAAGCCUGAUCCAGCCAUACCGCGUGGGUGAAGAAGGCCUUCGGGUUGUAAAGCCCUUUUGUUGGGAAAGAAAAGCAGCAGGUUAAUACCCCGCUGUUCUGACGGUACCCAAAGAAUAAGCACCGGCUAACUUCGUG
rnacentral:rRNA from 1 species